rnacentral:rRNA from 1 species
AUCAACUUUUCGAUGGUAGGAUAGAGGCCUACCAUGGUGGUAACGGGUAACGGGGAAUUAGGGUUCCAUUCCGGAGAGGGAGCCUGAGAAACGGCUACCACUUCCAAGGAAGGCAGCAGGCGCGCAAAUUACCCAUCCCGACACGGGGAGGUAGUGACAAUAAAUAACAAUACGGGGCUCUUUAGGGUCUCGUAAUUGGAAUGAGUACAAUUUAAAUCCCUUAACGAGGAACAAUUGGAGGGCAAGUCUGGUGCCAGCAGCCGCGGUAAUUCCAGCUCCAAUAGCGUAUAUUAAAGUUGUUGCAGUUAAAAAGCUCGUAGUUGAACUUCGGGGUUCACCCAUUGGUCAGGCUUAAUUGUCUGUACUGGUGAGAUGAGUCUCUACCUUCUGAGGAACUUUCAUGCCAUUUAUUUGGUGUGGUUGGAAAUCAGGACUGUUACUUUGAAAAAAUUAGAGUGUUUAAAGCAGGCUAACGUCUGAAUACAUUAGCAUGGAAUAAUGAAAUAGGACGGAUUGAUUCUAUUUCGUUGGUUUCUAGGGUCACCGUAAUGAUUAAUAGGGAUAGUUGGGGGCAUUAGUAUUCAAUUGUCAGAGGUGAAAUUCUUGGAUUUAUUGAAGACUAACUACUGCGAAAGCAUUUGCCAAGGAUGUUUUCAUUAAUCAAGAACGAAAGUUAGGGGAUCGAAGACGAUCAGAUACCGUCGAAGUCUUAACCAUAAACUAUGCCGACUAGGGAUCGGACGCAGUUAAUUUUAUAAUGACGUGUUCGGCACCUUACGGGAAACCAAAGUGUUUGGGUCC